rnacentral:lncRNA from 1 species
CUUACACAUCUCUUCAGAAUCCCUGCUUCCUACAUUAUAAUCUUGGGAUUUAAUACAUGUUUUUCAUUCAGGUUAUUAUCAAUAUCAGAUUUAUCUGACUAUGCAUGAACACAGCCACAGAUUCAGGGAAAAAGAUGUAUCUUUCAGCGCUGAAGAGAAUAAAAAUUAAUAAUCCUCAGAGACUUUCAAACUGAAGUGGGCAGGGAAGGGUGGAAAGAACCGAUCUCAUUCUAUGAAGAGCAUGCAGGGAUUUUCACAGAGCAUGUAGUGCUGAGUACAGCACACCAGGCACCCGGGGACACCCAGAGAGCAGCCUUUCCUCAACACAAGAGGAGUGAGCACCGCACAGAGCUGCAGAAAGGGAAUCCCAGAUGGGGUAACAGCAGAUACAAAGACCCCACGGCAGGCCCUGGCCUGGCCUGCUGGAGGAGCAGAACGGAAGCCAGUGGGUCUGGAGUAAAGGGGACCAACUUGUCCCGGUUUGCCCAGAACUUUCCUGGUUUUAACACUAGAAAUCCCAUGUCCCAGGAAACUUCUGAGUCUCAGCCAAGCUGGGAUGAUUUGCCUAGAACUUCCCCUAUUAUAAAACUGAGAGGUCUGUGCCCCAUCAUCCGCCUCAGUCCUAAGCAAGCUGAGGCAGUGGGUCGCCCUAGACUGGAGCAACGUGCAUGAUGGUGGGAAGAGCCAGUGACUCUCUUUCAUGUCCUCUCUGCCCUCGAUCUCAGGAGUCACCCAGGUGGGCACUGGCAUCCAGGAUGAAAACUUCCCAGCACCCCAGCAGUGGCCACGUGACCAGGCAGUGGCCAAUGCACAUGAGGCCAGUGCACAGCAACUGCCAUUAGAGGAAGGAAGAUUUGUGUCCUCUUGUUCUCUUCUCCCCUCCCUGCUGGCUGGUAGUAGAUAGGAUGGACACUGUGGGGGAAGCUACACCCUAAAGAAGUCAAAGCAGCAAGAUGGAAGUACCCUAAGACCCUGAAAAAUGCACAGAGAAGAAUCACCCGACUGGCUUGAACUUUCAUGUGAAAGGAAUGAACCUCUGUCUUAGUAAAGCCACCGUGAUUCAGGGUCCUUGUGAUAUUCACUGAGGCUGUAACAUAAUUGUUGAAAGAACAGGAGCGGGAGGGGAGAUGGAGUCGGAGAGGCAGGCAGAGGUCAGAUCACAUGGGGCCUGUAGGCCAAGGCGGAGGAAGAAACAGGUGACAUAGGACUCAAGGACCCCACCUGCUCCCAGGCGAAGGGAGUUUGCUGUGGGUGCCCCUCCCUGUCUGUGUGUCCAGUGUAUUCAUAUUCUUCAUACCUUGCCCAUAUUGGACAAAUACUUUUUUCUAUUCAAUAUUUAGAAGACAUUGCAUUAAAUAGCAAGAUGGCAGGUGAACAUCAGGAAGGAACAUUAGGAACAUCCACGGCGUUCCAUCCAGGAACCUUCACCGUGGAAACUCUUGUGCUCAUGGGCGUGGUCUCAAGACACAGUCAGCUGUUGGGGAUCAGAGGCGACACUCAUUGUAGCAGAGAGGCAGGACCAACUGGGAGAGGGUCCUUCUGUGACAACUAUUGCAUCACCGGGCUGUGUGAAGUGACUCAGCUGCCAGAACUCACACAAUAUCAUUCUACACCAAACCUCACGGGAAAAAUGCUCCACGACCCUCAGACUUAAACAGCAGCACUGGCUCCUCCCCAGAUCUCCAGCUCCCUGACCCUCAAACUCCAACUCCAACACCAGCUCUGCCCCAGGUCUCCAGCUCCACAAUCCUCAAACUACAACAGCAGCACCAGCUCCCCUGGGGAUCUCCAGCUCAAUGACUCUCAGACUUGGGAGGCAGCUCCAGCUCCCACCAAGCCUCCAGCUCCACAACCUUCAAACUAGAACAGCAGCACCAGCUACUCCCUGGGUCUCCAGCUCCCUCAAAAUUCAACUAUAGCACUGGCUGUUCCCCAGCGCCACCAGCUCCACAACCCUCAACUUACACGGUGGUAGCACCAGCUCCUCCCUAGGUCUCCAGCUACACGACCGUCAAACUUGAACUGCAACACCAGCUCCUCUUCGGCCUCCAGCUCCACAAUCCUCCAACAACAACAGCAACACCGGCUCCUCCCUGAAUCUCCAGCUCAACAACCCUCAGACUUGAGAGGCAGCACCGGCACCUCCCCAAGGCUCCAGCUCCAUGACCCUCAGAUUUGAACAGCGGUAGCACCAGCUCCUGUCCAGGUCUCCAGCUUCAUGAUCCUUAAACUAGAACAGCAGCACCACCACCUCCCUAGGUUUCCAGCUCCACGACCCUAAGACAUGAAUGGCAGGACCGGGUUCCCCGCUAGGGCUCCAGCUCCAAGACCCACAGAUAUAAACGGCAGCACCGGCUCUUCCUGGGAUCUCCAGCUCCACAGCCUUCAAACACGAUCAGCAGCACCAGCUCCCCUCUGGUUCUCCAGCUCCACAAUCCUCAGACAUGAACAGCAGCACAGGCUCCUCCUUGGGUCUCCAGCUUCUCUACCCUCAGACUAGAACAGCAACACUUGUUCCUCCCUGGGUCUCCAGCUCUUACAAGUCUCAGACUUGAAAGGCAGCACUGGCUCCUCAGAAAGUUUCUGGCUCCAAGCUGGUGCUGCUGUCCUAGUUUGAAGGUCAUGGAGCUGGAGACCCGGGGAGGAACCAUUUGAACAGCAGCACUGGCCCCUCCCCGGGUCUCAGGCUCCACGACCCUCAGACUUAAAAAGCCGUAGUACGGGCUUCUCCCUGGGUCUCCAUCUCUACAACCCUCAGACAUGAACAGCAGCAGCACCGCCCCCUCCCCCUGUCUCCAGUUCCACGAACCUCAAACUACAACAGCAGUACCGGCCUCUCCCCAGGUCUCCAGAUCCACGACCCUCAAAAUAGAAUGGCAUCACCGGCUCCUCCCUGGGUCUCCAGCUCCCAAACUCUCAAACUUCAAUUGACACACCGGACCCUCCCCACAGUUAAACAGCAGCACGGGCUGUUCCCCAAAGCUCCAGAUCCACGACCCUCUGACUUAAAGGGCGAUAGCACCAACUCCUCCCUAAGUCUCCAGUUCCACGACCCUCAAACUACACAGCAGCACCGGCUCCUCCUUGGGUCUCCAGCUUCACUACACUCAGACUAGAAUAGCAACACCGGUUCCUCCCUGGAACUCCAGCUCAAUGACUCUCAGACUUGAAAGGCAGCACCAGCUCCUCAAAAAGGUUCUGGCUCCAAGACCCUCGAACUAGAAUAGCAGCAGCUGCUGCAUCUUGGGUCUCCAGCUCCACAACCCUCAAAGUAGAAAAGCAGCCCUGGCUCCUCCCCGAGUCUCCAACUCCUCAAACUAGAACCGCACCCCUCCUCCCUGAGUCUCCAGCUCCAUGACCGUCAAACUACAACAGCAACACAGGUUCCUGUCUGGAUCUCCAGCUCAGCAACUCUCAGAUGAGGCAGCACCGGCAACUCACCAAGGCUCCAGCUCCACAACCCUCAGAUUUGAAUAAUGGUAGCACCAGCUCCUGUCCAGAUCUCCAGCUUCAUGAUCCUUAAACUAGAACAGCAGCACCGCUGCCUCCCUGGGUUUCCAGCUCCACGACCCUAAGACAUGAAUGGCAGAACCGGCUUCCCACAAGGGUUCCAGCUCCAGGACCCACAGAUUUAAAUGGCAGCACUGGCUCUUCCCAGGAUUUCCAGCUCCACUACCCUCAAACUAGAAGAGGAGCACCGGCUCCUCCCUGGGUCUCCAGCUCCCAAACCCUCAGACAUCACCUGACACACUGGAUCCUCCCCACAGUUACAUAGCAGCACGGGCUGUCCCCGAAAACUCGAGAUCCACAACCCUCUGACUUCAAUGGCGGUAGUACUGGUUCCUCCCUAGGUCUCCAGUUCCAUGACCCUCAAACUACACAGCAGCACCAGCUCCUCCCCAGGUCUACAGCUCCACCACCCUCACACUAGACACCAGGACUACCUCCUCCCCGCUCUCCAGCUACACGACCCGCAGAUUUGAACAGCAGCAGCGUCUCCUCCCUGUACCUCAAGCCCCAUAACCCUCAUAUAUGAACAACAGCAAUACCAGCUAAUGCCUAGGGCUCCAGCUCCAGGAUCCACAGAUUUAAACUGCAGCACCAGCUCGUCCAAGGAUCUCCAGCUCCACCACCCUCAGACUAGAACAAGACCUCUACUCCCUGGGUCGCGAGCUUCCGGACCCUCGAACUAUGAAAACAUUGCUCCUCCCUGGGUCCGCAGCUCCACGACCCUCAAACCAGAUCAAGAUCUCUCCUCCCUGUGUCGUCAGCUUCCUGACCCUUGAACUAUGACAACAUUGCUCCUCCCUGGGUCAGCAGCUCCACAACCCUCAAACCAGAUCAAGAUCUCUCCUCCCUGGGUCGCCAGCUUCCUGACCCUCGAACAACAGAAACAUUACUCCUCCCUGGGUCAGCAGCUCCAUGAUCCUCAAACUAGAAUGAGACCUCUCCUCCCUGCGUCGCCAGCUUCUGGACCCUUGAACUAUGAAAAUAUUGCUCCUCCCUGGGUCGGGAGCUCCAUGACCCUCAAACUAGAACAAGACCUCUCCUCCCUAGGUCUGCAGCUUCCAGUCCCUCAAAUAACAACAUUGCUCCUCCCUGGAUCUGCAGCUCCACGACCCUCAGACUAGAACACGAUCUGUCCUCCCUGGGUCACCAGCUUCCGAACCUUCGAACUAAAACAACAUUGCUCCUCCCUGGGUCUGCAGCUCCACGACCCUCAAACUAGAAAAAGACCUCUCCUCACUGUGUCGCCAGCUUCUGGACCCUCGAACUACAAAAACAUUGCUCCUGCCUGGGUCUGCAGCUCCACGACCCUCAAUCCAGAUCAAGAUCUCUCCUCCCUGUGUCAUCAGCUUCCUGACCCUCGAACUAUGACAGCAUUGCUCCUCCCUGGGCGCACCCUCAAACUAGAACAAGACCUCUCCACCCUGCGUCGCCAGUUUCCGGAGCCUCAAACUAAAACAACCUUGCUCCUCCCUGGGUCUGCAGCUCCACAACCCUCAAACUAGAACCAGACCUCUCCUCCCUGUGUUGCCAGCUUCCUGACCCUUGAACUAUGGAAACAUGGCUCCUCCCUAGGUCUGCAGCUCCACGACCCUCAAACUAAAACAAGAUCUCUCCUCCCUGGGUCUGCAGCUCCACGACCCUCAAACUAAAACAAGAUCUCUCCUCCCUGUGUCAUCAGCUUCCAGUCCCUCAAAUAACAACAUUGCUCCUCCCUGGGUCUGCAGCUCCACGACCCUCAAACUAAAACAAGACCUCUCCUCUCUAGGUCUGCAGCUUCCAGUCCCUCAAAUAACAACAUUGCUCCUCCCUGGAUCUGCAGCUCCAUGACUCUCAGACUACAACAAGAUCUCUCCUCCCUGGGUCACCAGCUUCCGGACCCUCGAACUACGAAAACAUUGCUCCUCCCUGGGUCUCCAGCUCCAUGACCCUCAAACUAAAACAAGAUCUCUCCUCCCUGUGUCAUCAGCUUCCAGUCCCUCAAAUAACAACAUUGCUCCUCCCUGGGUCUGCAGCUCCACGACCCUUAAACUAGAACAAGACCUCUCCUCACUGUGUCGCCAGCUUCCGGACCCUUGAACUAUGAAAACAUUGCUCCUCCCUGGGUCCGCAGCUCCACGACCCUCAAACUAAAACAAGAUCUCUCCUCCCUAGGUCUGCAGCUUCCAGUCCCUCAAAUAACAACAUUGCUCCUCCCUGGAUCUGCAGCUCCACGACCCUCAGACUAGAACAAGACCUCUCCUCCCUGAGUCACCAGCUUCCGAACCUUCGAACUAAAACAACAUUGCUCCUCCCUGGGUCCGCAGCUCCAUGACCCUCAAACUAGAACAAGACCUCUCCUCCCUAGGUCUGCAGCUUCCAGUCCCCAAAUAACAACAUUGCUCCUCCCUGGAUCUGCAGCUCCACGACCCUCAGACUAGAACAAGAUCUCUCCUCCCUGGGUCACCAGCUUCCGGACCCUGGAACUACAAAAACAUUGCUCCUCCCUGGGUCUGCAGCUCCACAACCCUCAAACUAAAACAAGAUCUCUCCUCCCUGUGUUGCCAGCUUCCGGACCCUCGAACUAUGACAACAUUGCUCCUCCCUGGGUCUGCAGCUCCACGACCCUCAAAGCAGAUCAAGAUCUCUCCUUCCUGUGUCAUCAGCUUCCUGACCCUUGAACUAUGACAACAUUGCUCCUCCCUGGGUCUGCAGCUCCAUGACUCUCAAACUAGAACAGCAGCACCAGCUCCUUCCUGGACCUCCAGGUCAAUGACUCUCAGACUUCAAAGGCAGCAGCAGCUCCACCCCCAGGCUCCAGCUCUAAAACCCUCAGAUGUGAGCAGUGGCAGCACCAGCUCCUUUCUGCGUCUCCGGCUUCAUGAUCCUUAAAUUAGAACAGCAGCGCCAUCUUCUCCCUGCGUCUCCAGCUCCAGGAACCUCAAACUGCAACAGGAGCACCUGUUCCUCUGGGAUUUUCACCUCCACGACCCUGAGGUGUCAGUGGCAGCACUGGCUCCUCCCCUGGGCUGCAGCUCCAGAACCCUCAAGAAUAAUCCCUUCUCAUGAAAUGUAGCAGUCAGGAAAACUGCAGAGGAAGUAAAUAAAUAAAUGUUUUCUUUCAAACUGAUGUUUCUUUUAUAUUCACACAAGUCAGGAAACUUUUCUACUUUCCAUCAACCUUACAAUCUACUUAUAUUCAAUUGUAAGGUGGAAAUCCACCAUUUGAAAUAACCUUUAAAAACUUAGUAACUCUCUUUUACUAUGAUUUUAUCUCACAGCUCUAGAAACGAUCUUUCACUUUGCCUGUGCAGAAGUCUUGUGAACAUUCAAACUAGAAUUUACUUGGUUGAGAUUCUAGAAUACACGUUAUCCCCAGAUGUUCCUGCCCUCCUUAAAAUCUUCUAACAUGUUCCCCUCACCCGAGCAUAAAUGCCAGGUCCUAUCCACAGCCCACAGUGCCCAGCACGGCCCUGCCCUCUGCCCUGACCUUAUGGUCUCCCCUCUGCUGUUACUUUCCUCCCAGACAGGCCUCUGUCACUUCCUGAAACCACACAGGCUCAGGCCUGACUCCGGGCCUUUGCCCCUGCUGUGCCCCCUGCGUGGAGCGCCUUUGCCCGGCUCCCCAUCCUCCUCUCCACCCGCUCAGCUCCAGCCUGCUGGC